GAUGAACGCUGGCGGCGUGCCUAAUACAUGCAAGUCGAGCGAACAGACGAGGAGCUUACUCCUCUGACGUUAGCGGCGGACGGGUGAGUAACACGUGGAUAACCUACCUAUAAGACUGGGAUAACUUCGGGAAACCGGAGCUAAUACCGGAUAACAUGUUGAACCGCAUGGUUCAACAGUGAAAGACGGUCUUGCUGUCACUUAUAGAUGGAUCAGCGUCGCAUUAGCUAGUUGGUAAGGUAACGGCUUACCAAGGCAACGAUGCGUAGCCGACCUGAGAGGGUGAUCGGCCACACGGGAACUGAGACACGGUCCAGACUCCUACGGGAGGAAGCAGUAGGGAAUCUUCCGCAAUGGGCGAAAGCCUGACGGAGCAACGCCGCGUGAGUGAUGAAGGUCUUCGGAUCGUAAAACUCUGUUAUUAGGGAAGAACAAAUGUGUAAGUAACUAUGCACGUCUUGACGGUACCUAAUCAGAAAGCCACGGCUAACUACGUG
rnacentral:rRNA from 1 species